CUUAACCAACUGAGACACCCAGGAGCCCUGGCAAGAGAAAUUCUUGAUUUUAUAAGUAAGCGAUGUGGGGCCAGCGAUGUGCCUGAGUAGGAGAGUGACUUGGACAGAGCUUUGUCUCCAGAAAAAUAACCAAGCAGCCACCUUCUGCAUAACAUCACGGAACAGAGAGAGAAUAAGAGAAAAGAUUUAUCACAUCUGCUCAGAAAGUCUUCACCGGCCUCUUUCUGGAAUGUAUGCCACAGGACCGACUCUCUCUCUAAAAACACAGUGAUGCUUCUCAAGUAGCUAAACAAGCCAUAGAGGACAACCCCUCCACAGAGAGAGGAAAUGGAAGAUUCAGAAAAACACCAGAUGUGAUUAGUCAAUUCACAGAAUCUGUGACCAUAUUCUGGACUUCAGUUAUCAUGGUUUUGAGGACUUUCUCCACAACUGGACAGCUCACACCUCACACCAGGGGGCCAAACUUGGGGACAUCAGCACCUGCACAUUACUGGAUUAAGUACUUAGCAGAUAAUUUGUUGGCCAUCAUUUAUU